UUAACUCAAAUUUGUAUGCAGUUGGAACAGCGCCCCUAGCGGCAAAUGUAAGCAAAGGUUCCAACUCCAUACAAAUUUGAGUUA
rnacentral:pre_miRNA from 1 species